rnacentral:rRNA from 1 species
UACGUAGGGCGCAAGCGUUGUCCGGAAUUAUUGGGCGUAAAGAGCUCGUAGGCGGUCUGUCGCGUCUGCCGUGAAAACCCGAGGCUUAACCUCGUGGCUUGCGGUGGAUACGGGCAGACUAGAGGUAGGUAGGGGAGAAUGGAAUUCCCGGUGUAGCGGUGAAAUGCGCAGAUAUCGGGAGGAACACCGGUGGCGAAGGCGGUUCUCUGGGCCUUACCUGACG